rnacentral:rRNA from 1 species
UACGUAGGUGGCAAGCGUUGUCCGGAUUUAUUGGGGUUAAAGGGUGCGUAGGCGGUUUCAUAAGUCAGUGGUGAAAUACGGCAGCUCAACUGUCGAGGUGCCAUUGAUACUGUGAGACUUGAGUACAGACGAGGUAGGCGGAAUUGACGGUGUAGCGGUGAAAUGCUUAGAUAUCGUCAAGAACACCGAUAGCGAAGGCAGCUUACUAGGCUGUAACUGACGCUGAGGCACGAAAGCCAGGGGAGCGAACGGG